CCCUUAGAUGUUUUGGGCCGCACGCGCGCUACACUGAUGCAUUCAACGAGUUUUUCCUGGUCCGAGAGGAAUGGGUAACCUUUUGAAAGUGCAUCGUGCUAGGGAUAGACUAUUGCAAUUAUUGGUCUUCAACGAGGAAUUCCUAGUAGACGUAGUUCAUCAGACUGCAUCGAUUACGUCCCUGCCCUUUGUACACACCGCCCGUCGCUCCUACCGAUUGGAUGAUCCGGUGAGCUAUUCGGACCUUCGCUUCGUCGAUUUUCGGCUUUGUGAGGGAAAGUCUCGCGAACCUUAUCAUCUAGAGGAAGGAGAAGUCGUAACA
rnacentral:rRNA from 1 species